rnacentral:rRNA from 1 species
AACGAACGCUGGCGGCAGGCUUAACACAUGCAAGUCGAGCGCCCCGCAAGGGGAGCGGCAGACGGGUGAGUAACGCGUGGGAAUCUACCCAUCUCUACGGAAUAACGCAUGGAAACGUGUGCUAAUACCGUAUACGUCCUUCGGGAGAAAGAUUUAUCGGAGAUGGAUGAGCCCGCGUUGGAUUAGCUAGUUGGUGGGGUAAAGGCCUACCAAGGCGACGAUCCAUAGCUGGUAUGAGAGGAUGAUCAGCCACACUGGGACUGAGACACGGCCCAGACUCCUACGGGAGGGAGCAGUGGGGAAUAUUGGACAAUGGGCGCAAGCCUGAUCCAGCCAUGCCGCGUGAGUGAUGAAGGCCCUAGGGUUGUAAAGCUCUUUCACCGGUGAAGGUAAUGACGGUAACCGGAGAAGAAGCCCCGGCUAACUUCGUGCCAGCCGCCGCCGUAAAAC